GCCAGACUCCUACGGGAGGCAGCAGUGAGGAAUAUUGGUCAAUGGGCGGAAGCCUGAACCAGCCAAGCCGCGUGAGGGAUGAAGGUACAGAGUAUCGUAAACCUCUUUUGUCAGGGAACAAAGGCGGGGACGCGUCCCCGGAUGAGUGUACCUGAAGAAAAAGCAUCGGCUAACUCCGUGCCAGCAGCCGCGGUAAUACGGAGGAUGCGAGCGUUAUCCGGUUUUAUUGGGUUUAAAGGGUGCGCAGGCGGGCUGUUAGGACGGGGGGCAAUGCCGGGGCCUCAACCCCGGUCCGCCGUUGAAACUGGCAGUCUCGAGUUGGAGAGAAGUAUGCGGAAUGCGCGGUGUAGCGGUGAAAUGCAUAGAUAUCGCGCAGAACUCCGAUUGCGAAGGCAGCAUGCCGGCUCCACACUGACGCUGAGGCACGAAAGCGUGGGUAUCGAACAGGAUUAGAU
rnacentral:rRNA from 1 species